GCUAGAUGUUCAGCCCCAAAAAGACAGGGUGCUGUCUGGCUAGUUCAUUGUGUAUCCCCAGCCCUAGGAGCCUGCCAAGUCCAGGGCAGACGUCACGUUAGAGCCUGUUAAAAGGAUAAAUAAGAGUAAUAGUAAUAAUAACUCAUGUUAACUGCCUGCUAUUUUUUGGUCUCCAGGUGAGGCGCGAAUCAACGUUUUCCAUAUUUUAAGCCACUCAAUCCUCCCAGCAUUUUGAGCCUGGAGUGUCAGUCUCUCAGGGUCAAGGUCUAAUGCUCAUGCAUCUGUUACAAAGCCUGACAUGGAUUUGUUCCUUCAAGAAGGAUCUACUGAGUGCCUACUGCGUGCCAGGUUUUUCUAAAGGCAGUGGGAGACUUGAAGACGGAGAGGAGAUCGUGUGACCACGGACGCCGAGACUGGAGUGAUGUGGCUGCAAGCCAAGGAAAGACAGCUGCCUUGGAAGCUGGAAGGGGCAAGAGCCUCCAGUUCUGCAACACCUUGAUUUUGACCCAGUUACACUGAUUCUGGAAUUCUGAACUCCAGAACUGUGGGAUGAUAAAUUUCUGUUGUUUUGAGCGGAACGAAAGCAAAAGCUGCCUAAUUCUGUAUAAGUCCAGGUGUUAAGGACACUCCAUGAGCCUCUACCCCACCCCGCUGUCCCAACCCUGGACAGAACCACCAUCAUCUUAUCCCUGGACUUUCACGUAUGGCUCCCUUCCUGGUCCCCUCACAGUUACACUUUCCCCCGCAUCACAGUCCUGUACCUUCUCCAUACCUAGCGUGACCUGAGGAUUGUGUUUCUCCCCAUGUCUAAAUCCUGCCUUUUCACUACACUUUGGAUCUCUUGCAACAUUUUUUAAAAUUUGUUUAUUUUUUAUUGAAG
ensembl:lncRNA